AGCAGCCGCGGUAAUUCCAGCUCCAAUAGCGUAUAUUAAAGUUGUUGCAGUUAAAAAGCUCGUAGUUGAAUUUCGGGGUUAGUAGGUUGGUCAUGCCUCUGGUAUGUACUGGUCUCACUGAUUCCUCCUUCCUGAUGAGCCGUAAUGCCAUUAAUUUGGUGUUGCGGGGAAUCUGGACUGUUACUUUGAAAAAAUUAGAGUGUUUAAAGCAAGCUAACGCUUGAAUACAUUAGCAUGGAAUAAUGAAAUAGGACGUUCGAUCCUAUUUUGUUGGUUUCUAGGAUUGACGUAAUGAUUAAUAGGGAUAGUUGGGGGGCAUUAGUAUUCAAUUGUCAGAGGUGAAAUUCUUGGAUUUAUUGAAGACUAACUACUGCGAAAGCAUUUGCCAAGGAUGUUUUUCAUUAAUCAAGAACGAAAGUUAGGGGAUCGAAGACGAUCAGAUACCGUCGUAGUCUUAACCAUAAACUAUGCCGACUAGGGAUCGGAUGAUGUUAAUUUUUUUAAUGACUCAUUCGGCGCC
rnacentral:misc_RNA from 1 species